GACGAACGCUGGCGGCGUGCUUAACACAUGCAAGUCGAACGGAAAGGCCCUGCUUUUGUGGGGUGCUCGAGUGGCGAACGGGUGAGUAACACGUGAGUAACCUGCCCUUGACUUUGGGAUAACUUCAGGAAACUGGUGCUAAUACCGGAUAGGAGCUCCUGCUGCAUGGUGGGGGUUGGAAAGUUUCGGCGGUUGGGGAUGGACUCGCGGCUUAUCAGCUUGUUGGUGGGGUAGUGGCUUACCAAGGAUUUGACGGGUAGCCGGCCUGGGAGGGUGACCGGCCACAUUGGGCCUGGGAUACGACCCGGACGCAUACGGGGGGCAGCAGUGGGGAAUAUUGCACAACGGGCGGAGGCCUGAUGGAGCAUCGCCGCGUGCGGGAGGACGGCAUUCGGGUUGGAAACCGAUUUCGCCUGUGACGAAGCGUGAGUGACGGUAAUGGGGAAAGAAGCACCGGCAAACUACGU
rnacentral:rRNA from 1 species